rnacentral:lncRNA from 1 species
AGACAGAAUACCAACAAGGGGGACUCCCACCCCAUAUCCUUCAGCUCUUACUCCUCUACACCAGCCUCAGAGCACAGCGUCCCUCCCGCUAUCCCAGCCUCUGUGCAAAUAAGGAAUUGGGCAAAUCGGCUCUGGAUUAUUUAUGAAGGCACAAAGGGAGAGAGACACACAUUGGACAAAAUUCAAAUGUGAUAUAUGUACACACCCCCUUCUUUGGCUGUGAUUUGUGCAAAAUCACAUCCAGGCUAUAGCCACAGCCCCUGGGGCUCAUCUCUGUUCUGAGGUACAAGAAGCUGGCAACGCGCUUUUCACACAGGACAAAGCCAUGCUGGCUGUUGAUUCUAAAGGCCCCAUCAUCCAGACUCUUGUGCUGUUAUUGGAAAAAAACAUGAGACUGGCCAAAAGCAGCUCAGGUCACAUUAUCAGAGUAUAUCAUCAAGGCUUCUGAGGGAACUCCAC